rnacentral:lncRNA from 1 species
UUGGUUCUGGCACAGGAAUAACAGGAGGGUAAACAAUGGGUGGCUUUGGCACAUAAGGUGGUCUAACUGGGACGACUGGUGGUUUAGGAACGUAAGGAGGUGUAACCGGGACAACCGGUGGUUUAGGGAUGUAGGGUGGUGUAACUGGGACGACUGGUGGUUUAGGGAUGUAAGGAGGAAUAACCGGAACAACAGGUGGUUUAGGGAUAUAGGGUGGUGUGACAACAGGAGGCUUAGGAAUGUAAGGUGGUGUGACAACUGGUGGAUUGGGGACAUAUGGUGGUUUUGGGACAUAGGGGGGUGGUUUGACAACUGGAGGUAGUGGAACAUAAGGAGGAUGUGGGUGAAGUGGUGGCUUAGGGUGAGGUUUUGGGACAUAGGGGGGGUGUGGAUGCACUGGUGGCUUAGGGUAGUGAGGAG